CUGUCUGCCCUUUGCUCCCUCUUUUCUGACCCUUCCAUACUGUCCAGCUCCAAGCAGCAAAUAAGCACACACCCGCACAAUGUCCACCACUUUCGGCUCGAAACUGGCUUCACUCUUAUUUCAUUUUCCGUCAUGUUUUGUGUUUUCAUU
ensembl:ncRNA C14C11.10 ncRNA